AUAGCGGCGGAGGGUGAGUCCACGUGGGUAACCUGCCUGUAAGACUGGGAUAACUCCGGGAAACCGGAGCUAAUACCGGAUAUUUUCUUGAACCGCAUGGUUCAAGAAUGAAAGACGGUUUCGGCUGUCACUUACAGAUGGACCCGCGGCGCAUUANCUAGUUGGUGAGGUAAUGGCUCACCAAGGCGACGAUGCGUAGCCGACCUGAGAGGGUGAUCGGCCACACUGGGACUGAACACGGCCCAGACUCCUACGGGAGGCAGCACUAGGGAAUCUUCCGCAAUGGACGAAAGUCUGACGGAGCAACGCCGCGUGAGUGAUGAAGGUUUUCGGAUCGUAAAGCUCUGUUGUUAGGGAAGAACAAGUACGACAGUAACUGCUCGUACCUUGACGGUACCUAACCAGAAAGCCACGGCUAACUACGUGCCAGCAGCCGCGGUAAUACGUAGGUGGCAAGCGUUGUCCGGAAUUAUUGGGCGUAAAGGGCUCGCAGGCGGUUUCUUAAGUCUGAUGUGAAAGCCCCCGGCUCAACCGGGGAGGGUCAUGG
rnacentral:rRNA from 1 species